rnacentral:ncRNA from 1 species
ACAGCGAAACUGCGAAUGGCUCAUUAAAUCAGUUAUGAUCUACAUGACAAAUACUUUACUACUGGAUAACCGUGGUAAUUCUAGAGCUAAUACAUGCAGAAAAGGCCUGACUUCGGGAGGGCUGCACUUAUUAGAUCAAAACCAUCCUGGGUAAAACCAGUUCUAUGGUGAUUCAUAAUAAUUAAGCUGAUCGCAUGGCCUUGCGCCGGCGACGGUA